AAACCAACAGGGAUUACCUCAGUAACGGCGAGUGAAGCGGUAACACCUCAAAUUUGAAAUCUGGCUCUUUCAGGGUCCGAGUUGUAAUUUGUAGAAGAUGCUUCGGUGUGUCCCGGUCUAAGUUCCUUGGAACAGGACGUCAUAGAGGGUGAGAAUCCCGUAUGUGACUGGGUACCUUCGCUCAUGUGAAGCUCUUUCGACGAGUCGAGUUGUUUGGGAAUGCAGCUCUAAAUGGGUGGUAUAUUUCAUCUAAAGCUAAAUAUUGGCCAGAGACCGAUAGCGCACAAGUAGAGUGAUCGAAAGAUGAAAAGCACUUUGGAAAGAGAGUUAAACAGUACGUGAAAUUGUUGAAAGGGAAGCGCUUGCAACCAGACUUGCCCGCCGUGGAUCAGUCGGGNUU
rnacentral:rRNA from 1 species